CGGGAUGCUUAAACAUGCAGUCGAACGGUGUCUUCGGACACAGUGGCGGACGGGUGAGUAACGCGUGAGAAUCUGGCUUCAGGUCGGGGACAACCACUGGAAACGGUGGCUAAUACCGGAUGUGCCGCAAGGUAAAAGGCUUGCUGCCUGAAGAUGAGCUCGCGUCUGAUUAGCUAGUAGGUGGGGUAAGAGCCUACCUAGGCGACGAUCAGUAGCUGGUCUGAGAGGACGAUCAGCCACACUGGGACUGAGACACGGCCCAGACUCCUACGGGAGGCAGCAGUGGGGAAUUUUCCGCAAUGGGCGAAAGCCUGACGGAGCAAUACCGCGUGAGGGAGGAAGGCUCUUGGGUUGUAAACCUCUUUUCUCAGGGAAGAAAAAAAUGACGGUACCUGAGGAAUCAGCAUCGGCUAACUCCGUGCCAGCAGCCGCGGUAAUACGGAGGAUGCAAGCGUUAUCCGGAAUGAUUGGGCGUAAAGCGUCCGCAGGUGGCUGUGUAAGUCUGCUGUUAAAGAGUGAGGCUCAACCUCAUAAGAGCAGUGGAAACUACACGGCUAGAGUGCGUUCGGGGCAGAGGGAAUUCCUGGUGUAGCGGUGAAAUGCGUAGAUAUCAGGAAGAACACCGGUGGCGAAAGCGCUCUGCUAGGCCGCAACUGACACUGAGGGACGAAAGCUAGGGGAGCGAAUGGGAUUAGAUACCCCAGUAGUCCUAGCCGUAAACGAUGGAUACUAGGCGUGGCUUGUAUCGACCCGAGCCGUGCCGUAGCUAACGCGUUAAGUAUCCCGCCUGGGGAGUACGCACGCAAGUGUGAAACUCAAAGGAAUUGACGGGGGCCCGCACAAGCGGUGGAGUAUGUGGUUUAAUUCGAUGCAACGCGAAGAACCUUACCAAGACUUGACAUGUCGCGAAUUUUCUUGAAAGAGAAAAGUGCCUUCGGGAGCGCGAACCCAGGUGGUGCAUGGCUGUCGUCAGCUCGUGUCGUGAAAUGUUGGGUUAAGUCCCGCAACGAGCGCACCCUCCGUUUUUAGUUGCCAGCAUUAAGUUGGGCACUCUAGAGAGACUGCCGGUGACAAACCGGAGGAAGGUGGGGAUGACGUCAAGUCAGCAUGCCCCUUACGUCUUGGGCUACACACGUACUACAAUGCUACGGACAGAGGGCAGCAAGCUAGCGAUAGCAAGCAAAUCCCGUAAACCGUAGCUCAGUUCAGAUCGCAGGCUGCAACUCGCCUGCGUGAAGGAGGAAUCGCUAGUAAUUGCAGGUCAGCAUACUGCAGUGAAUUCGUUCCCGGGCCUUGUACACACCGCCCGUCACACCAUGGAAGCUGGCAACGCCCGAAGUCAUUACUCCAACUUUUCGGAGAGGAGGAUGCCUAAGUCAGAAGACC
rnacentral:rRNA from 1 species